UGCAAGUCGAACGCUUCUUUUUCCACCGGAGCUUGCUCCACCGGAAAAAGAGGAGUGGCGAACGGGUGAGUAACACGUGGGUAACCUGCCCAUCAGAAGGGGAUAACACUUGGAAACAGGUGCUAAUACCGUAUAACAAUCGAAACCGCAUGGUUUUGAUUUGAAAGGCGCUUUCGGGUGUCGCUGAUGGAUGGACCCGCGGUGCAUUAGCUAGUUGGUGAGGUAACGGCUCACCAAGGCGACGAUGCAUAGCCGACCUGAGAGGGUGAUCGGCCACAUUGGGACUGAGACACGGCCCAAACUCCUACGGGAGGCAGCAGUAGGGAAUCUUCGGCAAUGGACGAAAGUCUGACCGAGCAACGCCGCGUGAGUGAAGAAGGUUUUCGGAUCGUAAAACUCUGUUGUUAGAGAAGAACAAGGAUGAGAGUAACUGUUCAUCCCUUGACGGUAUCUAACCAGAAAGCCACGGCUAACUACGUGCCAGCAGC
rnacentral:rRNA from 1 species